GGGGAGCUGGCGCAACGGUAGCGCGUCAGAUUCCAGUGAGCUGUCCAACAGCUUCUUUGGGGAUUCCUGAAGGUUAUCGGUUCAAAUCCGGUGUUCCUCA
rfam:Fusarium graminearum chromosome 3, complete genome